rnacentral:misc_RNA from 1 species
CAUCUUGCCACCCCUUUACUCCUAUCCAGGAGGAUCAAAAUUGGGACUGCUGCAGGUUGUCAAAGAGAAUUGAACCAAAAUUUCCAAUGAUUGGCUUCCAAGAUUUGCACGUAAUACAAAUGUACAGUUUUACAAGAAAACUGUACUCAUUAGCAAAGCACCUAUAAUCACAGAGAUUGUGAAAGAACCAAUAUUAUGGAGAUGUAGUGGAGGGCUGUCAGAACUCGUUGAAUUGGAAGAUGGGGCAAGCGAUGUGGUAUUUGUCAAGGUGCCAUUUCUUCCAGCACUUCCAGGAAAUUUACAAGAACCAUGACUUGGGUCAGUGGUAGUUAUGGUAGCCACCCCUUUAAAAUCACAGGUCCCUGGAGACUUGCCCAUCUCC